rnacentral:rRNA from 1 species
GCUUAGAGUUUGAUCCUGGCUCAGGAUGAACGCUAGCGGAAGGCCUAAUACAUGCAAGUUGAACGUGCUAGCAAUAGUAACGUAGCGGACGGGUGCGUAACGCGUAUGGAACCUACCUAUAAGAGGAGGAUAUACUAUGGAAACGUAGGGUAAUACUCCAUAAUUUUAUUUAUUUGCAUGAAUAGAUAAAAAAAGGCUUUGAGUCGCUUAUAGAUGGUCAUGCGUCCCAUUAGCUAGUUGGUAGAGGUAACGGCCUACCAAGGCGACAAUGGGUAACUGGUCUGAGAGGAUGAUCAGUCACACUGGAACUGAGACACGGUCCAGACUCCUACGGGAGGCAGCAGUAGGGAAUAUUGGGCAAUGGGCGCAAGCCUGACCCAGCCAUUCCGCGUGCAGGAAGAAGGUUCUCUGAAUUGUAAACUGCUUUAGUAUCUGAGUAAGUAUUUAUAUGGGCUAUAGAUAUUGAAAGUAAGAUAAGAAUAAGCACCGGCUAACUACGUGCCAGCAGCCGCGGUAAUACGUAGGGUGCAAGCGUUGUCCGGAAUUACUGGGUUUAAAGGGUGCGUAGGCGGGUCAAUAAGUGUAAUGUUAAAAGUAUCAGCUUAACUGAUAGCAGGCGUUACAUACUGUUGGUCUAGAAUGUUUGUGAGGCUACUGGAACGACUGGAGUAGAGGUGAAAUUCGUAGAUAUCAGUCAGAACACCGAUUGCGUAGGCAGGUAGCUAACAAAAGAUUGACACUGAGGCACGAAAGCGUGGGGAUCAAACAGGAUUAGAUACCCUGGUAGUCCACGCUGUAAACGUUGGUUACUAGACGUUCGUUAAUAAAGAUGAGUGUUUAAGCGCAAGCGAUAAGUAACCCACCUGGGGAGUACGUUCGCAAGGAUGAAACUCAAAGGAAUUGACGGGGGCCCGCACAAGCGGUGGAGCAUGUGGUUUAAUUCGACGAUACGCGAGGAACCUUACCUAGGCUAGGAUGUGAGUGCCACCUGUAGAGAUAUGGGAUAUUAUAGCAAUAUAACACGAAACAAGGUGCUGCAUGGUUGUCGUCAGCUCGUGCCGUGAGGUGUUGGGUUAAGUCCCGCAACGAGCGCAACCCUUGUAUUUAUUUACCAAUAUUAAGUUAGGUACUAUAAAUAGACUGCCGGCGUAAGCUGCGAGGAAGGUGGGGACGACGUCAAAUCAUCAUGGCCCUUACGCCUAGGGCUACACACGUGCUACAAUGGUAAGUACAAAGAGAAGCGAAAUAGUGAUAUAGAGCGGAUCUCAAAAAGCUUAUCUCAGUUCGGAUUGUAGUCUGCAACUCGACUACAUGAAGCUGGAAUCGCUAGUAAUCGCAGAUCAGAAUGCUGCGGUGAAUACGUUCCCGGGCCUUGUACACACCGCCCGUCAAGCCAUGAAAGUUCGGGGUGCCUGAAGUAUUUUAUAAGAGUAUAAAGGCAAAACGGAUAAUUGGGGCUAAGUCGUAACAAGGUAACCAAGCC